CCCAGCGUGGAGCCCAAUGCAGGGUUUGAACUCAUGACUCUUGGAUCAAGAUCUGAACUGAGACCAAUAGUCAAAACACUCAACUGACUGAGCCAUUCAGGCACCCCUGGUCUCUCACAUUCUAAGACUAGGAGCUGGCCUUUCCUCCUGCUGCCAUAAUUGACUUCUUGGGAUUCUUCUAAUGGUUCCUCUGUUCCCUCCAGCACCUCUACCCCUGCUAACUUCGGGCCAUGGCUCCCUCCCGGUCUCUCCCCUAAGAAGUCUAAGCCUGUGAGUUAUUUUACAGAGCAUGGACUGCUGGACACUCAAACUGCUGGCCAAGGCUAGGGCCCCAGCUUUGGUAGGUCACAGAGCCUCUGACCAAACCUCACUGGUUUCUCUGGUCUCCUGAGAACUGCAGAGGUCCUGUCCUCUACCCCAGUCCUUACCUCUCUUUGAAAAAGGGGCAAACUAUUUCACAACUUGUGGGAUCCUAUUUGCAAAUCUGGACAGCCAACUGGUCAAAUUAGCCCCUUUUCCUUUAAUGUAGCUCCCAGAAAGCUCUGCAGAAACAACUCCCCCUCCAGGACCGAGAACAUCCCGUUACCAAGUGCCAAAGGUCUUUUUCCUGCCUGUGGGCCUAGAGGAGUGGCCACUUUACCUUUCCUGCUAUCUUAGCUCAGCCUCCUUUCAUAGGACCAAACAGCAACCACCUGCUGCUCAGAUGCCUGGCUUUUGCUCCCAGGAAAGCAGUCAUGUCAUAAUGGCUAAUAAUUGUUGUUUAAGAGUGUGUGCUUGCCUCAACUAAGAGCGUCCUCAGGUCAGGAGUGUGCAUGUGUGACAAUUCCAUCUUCCAGAAUCUUUUGCUCAAGAACAAAGUCUCAGGCAGGGUGAGAAGCUCCUGGUUCCAGCACAACAAAGAUGGUCUGGCCUAAGGCUUCAUUCAGGCUCAGCCUCACUGAUUCCUGGUUACCAGACCUCCCACAAGAUUGACAACAACACAGCUUUGCUCAGACAGUAUCAGACAUUUAUGAAACAAGUGAAUAUUCACAAAAUGUGGGAGAAACACACCUUCUCAGUAAGAAUAAAAUCUCUGUAUAAAGUGCA